CCUACGGGUGGCAGCAGUGGGGGAUAUUGCACAAUGGGGGGAACCCUGAUGCAGCGACGCCGCGUGGGUGAAGGAGUGCUUCGGCAUGUAAAGCCCUAUCGGCAGGGAAGAAGCAAGACGGUACCUGACUAAGAAGCCCCGGCUAACUACGUGCCCGCAGCCGCGGUAAUACGUAGGGGGCGAGCGUGAUCCGGAUUCACUGGGUGUAAAGGGAGCGUAGACGGCCAUGCAAGCCAGGGGUGAAAGCCCGGGGCCCAACCCCGGGACUGCCCUGGGAACUGUGCGGCUAGAGUGCGGGAGGGGCAGGCGGAAUUCCUGGUGUAGCGGUGAAAUGCGUAGAUAUCAGGAGGAACACCGGCGGCGAAGGCGGCCUGCUGGACCGCGACUGACGUUGAGGCUCGAAAGCGUGGGGAGCGAACAGGAUUAGAUACCCCUGUAGUC
rnacentral:rRNA from 1 species